rnacentral:tRNA from 1 species
GGAGAGGUGUCCGAGUGGCUUAAGGAGCGUGCUUGGAAAGCACGUAUACCGGAAACGGUAUCGGGGGUUCGAAUCCCUUCCUCUCCG